rnacentral:rRNA from 1 species
UUGAAAGGGAAACGAUUGAAGUCAGUCGGACCUUCGGGAUCAGCCUUUCGGGGUGAUUCUGUGGAGUGUGAGGAGCUUAAAACCUUCAUGUUUUGCAUAUUCGUACUCUUGGGUGUACUUGCCCGUGUGGUUGGUUAACAUCAAUUUUGGUGGUCAUAAAAUGACUGGAGGAAUGUAGCUUCGAUCUUGUAUUGAAGUGUUAUAGCCUUCGGUAGAUGUGAUGAUCGAGAUUGAGGAUUGCAACGGAUACCCUUCGGGGCUACCUGUCUGGUCUCUGAUCGUUGCUCUGGUGCCGAAAGCUUGCUUACGGUUAUCAAAGUCGAUGGUCAAUAGGUUAGAAUGGGUUAAAUUCGUUAAGGAUGUUGACGUA